rfam:Schistosoma margrebowiei strain Zambia genome assembly, scaffold: SMRZ_scaffold0000016
AUCCAGAUGACGAGUCCCAAAUUGGACGAAACGCGCGUCAAAUUGUAU